rnacentral:tRNA from 1 species
GAGGGUAUAGCUCAGUGGCAGAGUGUGUGCUUAGCAUGCACGAGGUCCUGGGUUCUAUCCCCAGAACCUCCA